ACAGCAACAUUUUCAUUAGGCGGCCAGAAAAUAUCGUACACAUAACGACAAGAACACAGCCGACAGCCGACAGCACAACAACAUUGCCGCCAGAAACCACAUGGCAACUCAAAAACCCACGGGUAAACACAGGCAACAAAAACAAGGAGCAACAACAACGGGCACACUUGAUUCGCUCCGCCUUUGUUGCGAGGCGGAAUUUCGUGUCUAUUGUGAAGGAGUGUGUGUCAUGUAUUGGCAAUCGAGCAAGGUUGCAGCAAGGGAAAAUGAUAAAUAAGUAUUAAAACUAUUUUCGGCGUAUGUUUUGGAAAACUUAUGAAUUGUUCAUUACUUUUUUCUUUGUACCACAAAAUACCACAAUUAACCCUCUUUUGUUAAGUUCUUAAAAUAAUAAAAAUAUAAACAAA